rnacentral:rRNA from 1 species
AGGACGAACGCUGGCGGCGUGCUUAACACAUGCAAGUCGAGCGGAAAGGCCCUUCGGGGUACUCGAGCGGCGAACGGGUGAGUAACACGUGAGCAACCUGCCCUUGGCUCUGGGAUAGCCUCCGGAAACGGGGAUUAAUACCGGACAUUCACUUUCUCCUGCAUGGGUGAUGGUGGAAAGUUUUUCGGCCAGGGAGGGGCUCGCGGCCUAUCAGCUUGUUGGCGGGGUAACGGCCCACCAAGGCGACGACGGGUAGCCGGCCUGAGAGGGCGAUCGGCCACACUGGGACUGAGACACGGCCCAGACUCCUACGGGAGGCAGCAGUGGGGAAUAUUGCACAAUGGGCGCAAGCCUGAUGCAGCGACGCCGCGUGGGGGAUGAAGGCCUUCGGGUUGUAACCCUUUCAGUUGGGACGAAGCUUCGCCGGUUAAUAGCCGGCUGGAGUGACGGUACCUUCACAAGAAGCACCGGCUAACUACGCGCCAGCAGCCGC